UGGAUUAACAUUUCGGUGUGUCCUGGUA
rnacentral:piRNA from 1 species